UACGUAGGGAGCAAGCGUUGUCCGGAUUUACUGGGUGUAAAGGGUGCGUAGGCGGCCCUGCAAGUCAGAAGUGAAAUCCAUGGGCUUAACCCGUGAACUGCUUUUGAAACUGUAGGGCUUGAGUGAAGUAGAGGCAGGCGGAAUUCCCGGUGUAGCGGUGAAAUGCGUAGAGAUCGGGAGGAACACCAGUGGCGAAGGCGGCCUGCUGGGCUUUAACUGACGCUGAAGCACGAAAGCGUGGGGAGCAAACAGG
rnacentral:rRNA from 1 species